AGCACCAUGCAUUUUUCCCUUCCUAGUGGCCUAGGAAAGAUGCUCAACAAUUUUCAUUAUAUUUGAAUGUUGAUGUCAACUUGUCCCUAGGAAUGAAGGGCCUUCAAGCAGUUAGGCAAAAUACUGUCGCACAAGAUUCUGUCCUGCUUCUGGGUUGCAGGAACCACCUGAAUUGCCAUCUAACCCCUGGGGCAAGUCCAACAAGGAACUGGCUACCUGAAGGAGGUGCCCCAGGCAAAACACAGAUGAGGAUAACAAAGUUCCACGGGGAGGAACCUACCUGGAGAACAACGAGAAGAGUCCUGCUUCAGCUGUGCCAAAGAAUGGGUUCUUUUUCUUAUGGCAGCCACAUGCAGCCACAGCGGUGGUGUUGAAAUGGGAAAGGUUCCCCCGUCCCCCUUGCAGGGCGUGCGAUGGGGUGUGCUCGCCUCUUCAGUGCCCCGUUGGUCAUACCUCUAGUGGGGCAUAGAGAUGGGCAGGUUGUGGGGCUCCAACCCCAUGGCAGUGUCUAAGGGUGGAUGUUUACAGCUGAAGCCCCAGAGGGCGUGUGUUCCAGGGUGCGCUCUUAGUUCACGGUCUAUAGCUCAGUUAGACCCUCUACCUUGUCAUAAGGCCAGAGGGCUUUCUGUAUCCCGGGUUCUUGCCUUGGUGUACCGGAAGAAUCGGAUCACACGUGGGCUUGGAGAAUGACUGCAAAAUCGUAUUGAGUGGAAGUAACUCUCCACCGACAGGAGAGUCAGAAAGGAGAUGGUUUUCCCCCGGAGUUGGGCAGCUCCAGAAGGGAGAUGGCUUUCCCCUGGAGUUGGGCCGCUGGGUGCCCGGGCUGUCCUCCUACUGCCCAGGACAAACUCCACCUCGUCCCACCGGUCGAUGGCCUGCCGGGGAGCCCGCGGGCGAGCCGGCGUCUGUAGGUGUGUUCUUCUGCUGACAUGCUCUCCGUGACCAGCCGCUUCUGUCUUCUUCCACUGAUGCGUUCCUCUCGCCCUCCAGCAGCUUCUGUCUCUGCCUUGCUAGGGUCGUGGGUGUUUAUAGGCCCAGGCUGGGGGCGUGGCGGGCCAGGGUGCUCUUGGAAAAGCAGGAGUGCCUGUCCUCGCCUAGGUCCCUGGGGCUAGAGGCCUAGUCACGGACUCUGCCCUUUCUACCCCGCGCUUUCCUUCCCGGCUUCCGUAUCAUUUAAAGGGACCGUGCUCUUCCUUUCCCAGCACUCCGGCUUGAGUGUUAAAUGGCCAGCAGGAAUUAUCCACUAGAGAAGCGGAAGGGAGAGAAUGGAAAUGGCCGCAUGCAGCUCCUCUCCCUCAGACAGCUCGGGGCUCAGCGGAAUGAGCACAGUCUGCAGGACAAGUGCGGAGGACUUCAGUCCCCUCUACUGUAUAUUGGCUUUAGGACUCAAGUUGUCCCUGAAAUAGAGGAAGGUGUUUUCUAGGGUAGUGGUAAUUAUCACAGUCAAAAAAGUAGGCGAGAGCACUUAGGAAAACUGUGCGGAGAUCGGCUGCUGAUGUGUAAAUACUGCUGAAGCUGCUUAUUCAAGAUUAGAAAACCUGAGACCCAGACGGGGGAAACUGCUUUCCAUGGUUAAUCGUCAACAACUGGCCAGGAUGGGACAGAAGCCCAUACAUAGCCUUCAUUCCAGGGCUCAGAACAAAAAGAAGGCAGUGGCCUGGGCUGCACCUGAGCUUGGCUUCACAUAGGAGGGAUUCUGGAACGCAGGAUCCUGACAACGACCUCAAGCCCCUGUAAAGCAACACAUUUUUUGGCAAGAAUCCCUGGGACAGAGAAAGAAUUUCUUCUCACUUAUUAUUGAGAAUGUUCUCAUGUCUUGCAAGGCUCACUGCCCAGUAGAAGCUGAAAAGAUUCAGUAUGAGUAAAAGAAGAGAUCUGAAAUUUGCAGCUUGUCAUAGAAAGAACUGAGACUACCAUACACCUAAGAAGUCAAAGUUGCUAUUCAAGGGGAAGUGCAAACACAAGAUGAGGGAAACUGAUGUAUUUAGUGUCUACAUUUUACAAAUGGAUGCUUUUCAUAAUAUGAAAAUACUGCACCAUAAGAUUGCCAGUCACAACAGCACGGCUACAGUGAAAAUGAUCCCAGUGGAUUUGUUACGGUGAGAAAGCUUCACUUGGAGACAAAGCCAAAACCUUCCUCCCAGGCUCCCUUGGAUGUAGGGGGAAGCAAACUGGCUGUCCAGGCCUCUGAGCCACAUCUACACACCUCAUGAGAGGGCCUGUGCAACAUUGCCUUAGAGAUGGAGAGCAUUGCUUCAGAAUCAGGGAAGCCUAAAUUUCACCCCUGGGGCUGCCCCUUGUGAUCUUGAAUGGCUCCUGACAAGAGGCUGCUGGGGAGGCUCCUGCUCCCUGCCUUUCGGGACUGCCGUGGAUUGCCCAUUGAUGGGUCAAAAUCCAGCUACCUGGUAAUUCAAUGAGUCCCUAGUGUGCAUCCAAUAAAUUAUCUUCUGUUUAAAUUAGAACAAACUGUUUUUAAUCUGUGUGCUAAGAAUCUCAUUAAAUGCAUCAUAAAUUUCAAAAUCAAAAACUAAAUAAAACAUUUAUCUAUCGAGUACUAAAAUUUGCCUGGGUCCUCUUAAGUGUAUGUGGAAUCCAUGCUUUCAAAACUCGAUAACUUUUCUUCUCCAAUAAUCCGUACAGCAAUUAUUCCCCCGCAAAGUUAAUUAACAUCCUGUGAUCAUAUUUUUGGUGAGUGCUCCAUAGGUUCACGGACUGAAGAAAUAGAUGUACUUGAAAAGAUGUCAGUGAAGAUAAAAAAGGCAGGGGAGAAAUUUUGUACCAAAAUACAGACAUACUGGCUAAUUACAUUUUUUUAAACUUUACAAAAAAAAGAAGUAAGACUUUUAGCUCAACACUCCACACACAAUUCCCACCAUCAACUGCACAGCACAUGAAACAGAGUAUUUUAAACAUACACCAAAAUCUAGAUAUUUCAAUUCAUUUAUAUACUGUCUCUCUCAACUCUCUAAAUUUACCUGCCCACUAAAGCUGGAUUCUCAUAUUCCCUCAUCUAGUGUUGUCCCUUAGCCGUGGUGUCCUAGGCCACUUUAGCAAAAUAAUAUAAGCAGAAAUGGCAUGUAUCACCUUGAAGCAGAAUGCUUCAAAUACAGCUUUAUCUUCUCUAGUUAAUCAUUCUCUUUCUCCGGGCUUGACUCAGACAAACAUGGUCACUGUGGAAGCCACGUGUAGAAGGUUGUGGAAUCACAAAACACAAAGGGCUCAGUUUCUCAUGACCACUUAGAGGAGGGCCAUAUGUGAUCAAGAACAAUUGCUUUGUUAUUAGAAGUCAUACACAUAAAAGAAAUAAACUUCUAUCAAGUUUGAGCUAUUCUGUAUCUUUGGAUUUGUUUGUUACAGCAGUCAGCAUUACCUUAAGUGAGAGAGAGAGAAUGCUGCACUGCAGACGUUUGCAUAGUUUGUGUGACAUAGGCCUGAAGAUAUACAUUUCUUUCGUUCACUCAAUAAAUAGUUAUAAAAAUUCUACUCUAUGCUAGAUAGUCUGCAAAAGCUGUUGAUAAAAUGUAGUUUAUCAUUUUUGGAGCAUAUCAUGUAUUAAUCUUCUUGGUUUCAGAGUCACCUUAUAAUCUUAAAAUUUAUUGAUGACCCUGAAGGUCUUUUGUUUCUGUGUAUUAUAUGUGUAUUUGCAUUUACUAUAUUAAUCAUUGAAACUAAACUUUUAAAAAAU
rnacentral:lncRNA from 10 species